rnacentral:lncRNA from 1 species
UUUGGUUAGGGGUUAUAAAAAUUCAACAUUUGCAAUAAAUAAUGUGAACCAUUAGAUCUCUUGUUGAAUCUUGAUCCAAUGGCUAAAGAUUGCUCCUUGAAAAAAAAGGAAAGAACUUUGGCCUUUGGAUGAGAUUUGAUCUAAUGGCAAUAAGUUAAUCUUGGAUGGAUAUUUUGUCUUCAUCUUCUCCAAGAGAGGAGGAGGUUUUUCUGCAAUUUUGGAGGAGGGAGGGCAGCUAGUGAAAAGAGAAAAAGAAGGAAAAAUCAAGGAAAAAAGUUGUGAAAAUCUUGGAGUAUGUAGAAUUCUUCUCCCUUUUUUAUUCUUUUUCUUUUCAUUCCAUAAUAUUCAUCACUUUCUCCAUAUCAUUUAUGUUUUUUUUUUUUUCAAUUUUUGUUUCUUUUUCAAGAAAGUGGUAAUUUUUCAUUGAUUUUUUUUACUAAACUUGGAUCAACUUACAUCCAACUAGUUAAUAGUUUGAAUUGAAACAAGAAAACCAAGUAACAAAAAAUUUUCAAUCCACCACUUUGGCCUUUAAAGGUUCAACCAAACAACCUCACUAUGGCCAAACCUUCUUUGAUCCUCCAUUGAUGUUUUCCUUGCUUGUAAAGGUUAUUUGUGAUGAUUAAAUGGUAAGUUUAUUUGUUGCAUACAUAAAUUUUAGCUAGAAUGUGAUAUCAGGAUGUUGUUUAGCUUUAAAUGUUGACUCUAUAUUUUCUUCUCUUCUUAGUUCGCCAUAUGCUUAUUGAAAUUCCUCAUAUAUUGUAGAUGCCUUCAUACAAUGAAAAUUGUGAUGUUCAAUGGUUAUUUGAUGAAAUGAAAUGUUGAUUGCUUAAGGAGAUGCCAUAGAGUAUUCGGCCAAGGUAGUUUCCUUACUUGGCCGAAACUUGCUUAUCCAUUUGUGGUCAAAUGUUGCUUGAUCUUAUGUAAUUGAUUUUUUUAUUUGUCAUGUUUACUAAAUUUUCAAUGUGGUAGAUUAAUUUUUCAAUGAAAAAAUGUAGUUGAAUGAGUUGUUUGGUUGAUUCAUAUAUUUGUUUGGUUAGAUUUUUAAAGAACAUAUUGGUGGAACAUUUAAACUAAUUUCAAAAGUUUGUUAUGUUUCAUCCUUUUUUUCCCUCGAAUUUUUGUACGAAACUUGUUUGUAAUUUAGUUUUGUAAAUAUAUAGUCUUGUAAUUAGUUAGUUUUCUUUUUAUGUCAUGCUUUUAUCAUACAUUUAGUAAUGAUAUUUAUGUAAUUUGUUCUUGUUAUGUCCAUAAUUUUAUAAAACCCCAAAUACGUUUUAAAUUUUUAAGGAUUUGCAUGAAAGCCUUUUGUAAAAUAAUUUGUUUUCGAAUGUCACCUAGAUAUAGGGUAUUUAAAAUUUUUUAUUUCAUUAAAAAUUUUCAUACAUUUUCACAACUCAAAAUAAAUGAUUAUAAAAGUAUUAAAUAAUAAAAAUAAUAUGAUGAAAUUUUAAAUAUAAAAAUUCACACCCAAACUUUGUCUAGAUAUUGUAGAGUUCAAGUGAACUUUUUAUAUUUAAAAACUCGUUUCUUAAAUUUGUAUUUAAUCAUCAUUGGCAUAUCUGUCAUUUUUAGAUUAAUUUACUCAUUUAUAAUGCAUAUAUAUAUAUGUUUGCUCUAAUUAUGGAUGUUUAAUAUUAAUUAUAUUAUUUCUUUCAUUUUUUUACCACAUAAAAAGCUUUCUUAAAUUUUUUUUUGUUUUGAAUAAAUAAAAUUAAAAUAGCAUUCUGUGAAAUAUAAUUAUUAAUACUCUACUUAAAUAUUAGAGAGUCAUCAAUGAUUAUCAUUUACAAAGAAUGUUAUUUUAUUAUUUUUAAAUGAAUGUUAUAAUAAAUCUUAAAAUGAAAAGAUUAUUUUCGAAUUCUGCUUUUAUGUCAAAGACUUUGAAAGUAUUUCUUUAAUUUGAAGAUUUUCAUAAUAUUCCUAAAUAAAUGAUUUUUUAAACUAAUUUUAUUUCUUACAAACAAAGGGAAUUAUAAUUAAAUUUCAUAUAAAAAUUUAUUUUUAUCAAGAAUUACAAAUAGCAUAUAAUUAAUUGAUAUCGAUUCUAUGAGCAUUGUAGGGAUGUUAAUCUUUAUCUACACCUAACUAACUUUCGAACCUAAUUUAUUUUUGUAAACCAAAAUUAUCUUUUGCAUAAAACUUUAAACAUGUUUUAUUAUUUUAUUAAAAAAUAAAAUUUUUUAAUGAUCAAUCAUACUCUAAAAAAAAUUAGUGAUAACUCUUCGUAUUUUUUACGAUUUUUAAAUUUUUACAUCUAAUUAUCAAGUCUUCGAAUCGAUAAAUUAUAACAUACGAUGGUAGCUUUUCCAUUAGGAUCAACAAGCAUCCCGUUAAUGUAGGAAUCUGUCAACAGCUCUAACUCCAUGUCUUCGGCAAUAAGGCUGCAGUCAUCAUUGUCAAGACGGCCGCCGCUGCAUCAGAAUGAGGUGUUGCUCUUCUCAAUUAAUACUGCCGCUCUGCAACAAUUUGUGCUGAUGAUCAUCAGCAUUAGCAUUACAAACAAUGCUACACUAACUAAUCCCCCAUAUCUAUCAACUCUCAUUUUCCUUGAGUUUUGCUUAACAAGCUCUCCCUUACAAAGAAAAUUAAAGUGGUAAAU